GAGUUUGAUCCUGGCUCAGAACGAACGCUGGCGGCGUGCUUAACACAUGCAAGUCAGGGAGAAAGUCUCUUCGGGGAUGAUUAAACCGGCGCACGGGUGAGUAACACGUGAGUGACCUGCCUUUUAGACUGGAACAACUUACCGAAAGGUGAGCUAAUGCCGGAUGAGUUAUAUAAGUGCAUGUUUAUAUAGGAAAAGUUGGGGAGACCUGACGCUGAAAGAUGGACUCGCGUCCCAUUAGCUAGUUGGUAGGGUAAUGGCCUACCAAGGCGACGAUGGGUAGCCGGCCUGAGAGGGUGGCCGGCCACACUGGGACUGAGACACGGCCCAGACUCCUACGGGAGGCAGCAGUGGGGAAUUUUGCGCAAUGCUCGUAAGAGUGACGCAGCGACGCCGCGUGAAUGACGAAGGCCUUCGGGUCGUAAAGUUCUUUCGACAGGGAAGAAAAUGCCUAUAAGUAACUGUGUAUGUAUUGACGGUACCUGUAUAAGCAGCCCCGGCUAACUCCGUGCCAGCAGCCGCGGUAAUACGGAGGGGGCGAGCGUUGUUCGGAGUGACUGGGCGUAAAGAGCACGUAGGCGGUGUUGUAAGUCAUUAGUCAAAGACUAGAGCUCAACUUUAGUAAGGCUAGUGAUACUAUAAUACUAGAGUAUC
rnacentral:rRNA from 1 species